AACGAACGCUGGCGGCAUGCCUAACACAUGCGAGUCGAACGAGACCUUCGGGUCUAGUGGCGCACGGGUGCGUAACGUGUGGGAACCUGCCCUUAGGUUCGGAAUAACUCCCCGAAAGGGGUGCUAAUACCGGAUAAUGUCUUCGGACCAAAGAUUUAUCGCCUUUGGAUGGGCCCGCGUUGGAUUAGCUAGUUGGUAGGGUAAAAGCCUACCAAGGCGACGAUCCAUAGCUGGUCUGAGAGGAUGAUCAGCCACACUGGGACUGAGACACGGCCCAGACUCCUACGGGAGGCAGCAGUGGGGAAUAUUGGACAAUGGGCGAAAGCCUGAUCCAGCAAUGCCGCGUGAGUGAUGAAGGCCUUAGGGUUGUAAAGCUCUUUUACCCGGGAUGAUAAUGACAGUACCGGGAGAAUAAGCUCCGGCUAACUCCGUG
rnacentral:rRNA from 1 species